UAAAUAUCAAGUAGUUAGCAUUAAAAGAAAACCCAAUCCUCAGAACAGGGAAUUCAACAUUCAGGGGUGGGGGGGACGGCUCCAUGUUCCUCCCAUCAUCAAUUUCCCUCCUUAAAUAUCCUUCUCUCCUUUUCAUUCUCUUCCACGUUCAGACGUCUUCUCAUCCUCCUGUCCUGCUUCCCCACCCCCAUCCCUGGGGAAGGGCCAAAGGGCUUGGGCGUCCCUGGUUUAGCCCAGGUCAAGCAGGACCCUGGAUUCUUGGGAAGCCACCCUGAGGCUCCUCUGCAGAGGACCAAGCGGGACACCAGAUCACGACGGGUGCCAAGGCUGCCGCCACUCCUGCUGGCCUUUGACCCUGGGGCUCUCAUCUCUCUUGCUUUCAGGGAAUGCGCUGGACUUGGGAGACGGACGGGAGGGACGGUCUGCCUCCGAGUAGCUUGAUGGGAAAAGGGGACAGAAAUAGAUAGGGGUCUGUUCACCAGAAAGGAAAUCUGAAGAGACUGGGGUAGGGGACAGGGGCUGUGCCCCAAGAAAAGCAAGGCAUCCUUUCCAAGCAGCUGCUUAUUCCAUCAAAUGUAUUGAAAGGUUAUCUCUGGCUCCUGUAAAAUUCUACUUCAGAAGUGCAAUGGAAGCAUAUUUUCCUUCUGCUGAAGUUGCCCACUCAAGUGACUAAAAACAGCUUGAUCAAAUUUCUAAGCCUCCCCAUACUCAGCUAUAAUUGAGAAAGGCAUCCUCAGAAUCCCACCUACUUCUAAGCAGCUUCUAUAUCAGUUGCCCGCUCCCCCUGGCAGUCCAAGCAGUGGCUGGAGGGCAUCCCAAAGUCCAGGUGAAAGACUUCCAGAUAAUAAUGGUUGUUAGCAUUGGGUUGCAACCCUAAAGGAAGACAUGACUGAAACACGCUUGUUAAUAUUCUCAUUAUUUUAAUAAGUAACGUUUAAGUGCACUUGA